CACGCAGGCGGUCGGAUAAGUCAGAUGUGAAAGCCCCGGGCUCAACCUGGGAACUGCAUUUGAAACUGUUCGACUAGAGUCUUGUAGAGGGGGGUAGAAUUCCAGGUGUAGCGGUGAAAUGCGUAGAGAUCUGGAGGAAUACCGGUGGCGAAGGCGGCCCCCUGGACAAAGACUGACGCUCAGGUGCGAAAGCGUGGGGAGCAAACAG
rnacentral:rRNA from 2 species